rfam:Triticum aestivum genome assembly, contig: Triticum_aestivum_CS42_TGACv1_scaffold_289856_4AL
UCAAUAUUACCUCCGUCCCAAAUUACUCAUCUUAGACACGGAUGCAUCCAACACUAAAACAUGUCUAGAUACAUCCGUAUCUAGACAAAUCUAAGACGAGUAAUUUGGGACGGAGGGAGUAUAUA